rnacentral:rRNA from 1 species
GUGCCAGCAGCCGCGGUAAUACAGAGGGUGCAAACGUUGCUCGGAAUUACUGGGCGUAAAGCGCGUGUAGGCUGACAUGCAAGUCGGAUGUGAAAUCCCAGGGCUCAACCUUGGAACUGCAUUCGAAACUGCACGUCUUGAGUACUGGAGAGGGAAGCGGAAUUCCGGGUGUAGAGGUGAAAUUCGUAGAUAUCCGGAGGAACACCAGUGGCGAAGGCGGCUUCCUGGACAGUAACUGACGCUGAGACGCGAAAGCGUGGGGAGCAAACAGGAUUAGAAACCCCCGUAGUCC